GUCAGGACCAAAGGUGGCCUUUACAUGUAAGCUAUCGCGUUGGGAUGGGCCCAGUUAGGAUUAGCUAGUUGGUAAGGUAAUGGCUUACCAAGGCAACGAUCCUUAGCUGGUUUGAGAGGAUGAUCAGCCACACUGGGACUGAGACACGGCCCAGACUCCUACGGGAGGCAGCAGUGGGGAAUAUUGCACAAUGGGGGAGACCCUGAUGCAGCCAUGCCGCGUGUGUGAAGAAGGCCUUCGGGUUGUAAAGCACUUUCAGCAGUGAGGAAGGUCGUGUACUUAAUACGUGCACGGCUUGACGUUAGCUGCAGAAGAAGCACCGGCUAACUCCGUGCCAGCAGCCGCGGUAAUACGGAGGGUGCGAGCGUUAAUCGGAAUUACUGGGCGUAAAGCGCAUGCAGGCGGUUUGUUAAGUCAGAUGUGAAAGCCCGGGGCUCAACCUCGGAACCGCAUUUGAAACUGGCAGGCUAGAGUCUUGUAGAGGGGGGUAGAAUUUCAGGUGUAGCGGUGAAAUGCGUAGAGAUCUGAAGGAAUACCAGUGGCGAAGGCGGCCCCCUGGACAAAGACUGACGCUCAGAUGCGAAAGCGUGGGUAGCAAACAGGAUUAGAUACCCUGGUAGUCCACGCCGUAAACGCUGUCUACUUGGAGGUUGAGGUUUUAGACUUUGGCUUUCGGCGCUAACGCAUUAAGUAGACCGCCUGGGGAGUACGGCCGCAAGGUUAAAACUCAAAUGAAUUGACGGGGGCCGGCACAAGCGGUGGAGCAUGUGGUUUAAUUCGAUGCAACGCGAAGAACCUUACUUACUCUUGACAUCCAGCGAAGCCUUUAGAGAUAGAGGCGUGCCUUCGGGAGCGCUGAGACAGGUGCUGCAUGGCUGUCGUCAGCUCGUGUUGUGAAAUGUUGGGUUAAGUCCCGCAACGAGCGCAACCCUUAUCCUUGUUUGCCAGCACAUAAUGGUGGGAACUCCAGGGAGACUGCCGGUGAUAAACCGGAGGAAGGUGGGGACGACGUCAAGUCAUCAUGGCCCUUACGAGUAGGGCUACACACGUGCUACAAUGGCAGAUACAGAGGGCAGCGAGACAGCGAUGUUUAGCGAAUCCCUUAAAGUUUGUCGUAGUCCGGAUUGGAGUCUGCAACUCGACUCCAUGAAGUCGGAAUCGCUAGUAAUCGUGGAUCAGAAUGCCACGGUGAAUACGUUCCCGGGCCUUGUACACACCGCCCGUCACACCAUGGGAGUGGGCUGCACCAGAAGUAGAUAGCUUAACAUUCGGGAGGGCGUUUACCA
rnacentral:rRNA from 1 species